UUGUUCUUGCUUUGGCAACACAUAUACUAAAAUUAAGAUGAUACAGAGAUUAGCAUGGCCCCUGCACAAGGACAAAAUACAAAUUCAUGAAGCAUUCCAUUUUUAU